GAGGAAUAUUGGUCAAUGGGCGCAAGCCUGAACCAGCCAUGCCGCGUGCAGGAUGAAGCAUCUAUGGUGUGUAAACUGCUUUUGUACGGGAAGAAACACUCCUACGUGUAGGAGCUUGACGGUACCGUAAGCAUAAGGAUCGGCUAACUCCGUGCCAGCAGCCGCGGUAAUACGGAGGAUCCAAGCGUUAUCCGGAAUCAUUGGGUUUAAAGGGUCCGUAGGCGGCUUUAUAAGUCAGUGGUGAAAGCCCAUCGCUUAACGAUGGAACGGCCAUUGAUACUGUAGAGCUUGAAUUACUUGGAAGUAACUAGAAUAUGUAGUGUAGCGGUGAAAUGCUUAGAUAUUACAUGGAAUACCAAUUGCGAAGGCAGGUUACUAUGAGUUAAUUGACGCUGAUGGACGAAAGCGUGGGGAGCGAAC
rnacentral:rRNA from 1 species